UUCAAGAAUUGAUUGAAUAACGAGAGCCUUUCGGCUUCCAAAAAUUGACGAGAUGCCGUCCGAAACCAAAGUAAGGAAUGAACUGUUACUCGCGCGGCAGGUGUGUUCGAAAUAAUAGGUGUUGGCGCAACCCACCGUCUCUUAACGGUCAUUGGCGAGUUGCCUUUCACCCCCUGACAGGACAGGUUAUUGUUCGUGAGAUUCAAUAAAAUCCCGAAGGAGCUUGUUUUGGAUAAGGUUUCUUCUUUCAUACUUCACAUAUGAUAUCUACAAGAAAUCUAAAACAGCAGCCGAUAUAAUGGCACACAUAGGUUUCAACAGGACGAUCUGGUGGCAUACUGCAUCCAUUUUUGGAUGAUAAGAUUAAUUCUCUCCACAAAGCAAUAGCAUCUCUUGCAGCAGUGCUUAAGUCAGAAGAUUCACAAGAGGAGCACGUCCUUGAAAAUUUCUUUUCAAGUCUGACUAUUAGAAGAAAACUAUAAUUUGGAUUGCCCCAACUUUGCUUCCAUCCUAUGGGGGAGGAGGCGUUAAAAGGGAAAAGUGAGUUAUGGGCGCAUGACCACAGAUUCAAAGGUACAGAAUCUUGCAGAAAAAGAGCUGCAGCCUUAAGAAUCCGACGUCCAGAGAACAAGCAACCCAAUAGUUUUCAUUUAUGCUACACGGAGAAAGAAACUAUAUCUCAAAAGGAGAGAAUUGGUGCACAAUAUCAGUAGCAAGUGCGCACCUAAACUAUUCUCUGGAGUCUGUAAUGGGUUUGUUUUCUGGAUUUGUAGAAAAUGAGUUUAAAGGCGUAAAACUACUGUUAUCAAGAAAGCUGCUUUCAUUGUUGUUUUAACAACCUAAAAGAACUUCUCCAUUUAAUUGACAUCACCUGAAGUAGUGAUCAAAUUUUACUCAUUUUAAAUUGCAGCAAUUUCACAAUUACUGUAACAUAAGGAAUGCUACAUACCUAUUGUACCUUAGGCUUUUAAUUUAUGUUUUCAA